rnacentral:rRNA from 1 species
UACGUAGGGAGCAAGCGUUGUUCGGAUUUGCUGGGCGUAAAGGGCGCGUAGGCGGCAUAUUAAGUCAUCUGUGAAAUCUCCGAGCUUAACUCGGAACUGUCAGCUGAUACUGAUGUGCUAGAGUGCGGAAGGGGCAAUCGGAAUUCUUGGUGUAGCGGUGAAAUGCGUAGAUAUCAAGAGGAACACCUGAGGUGAAGACGGGUUGCUGGGCCGACACUGACGCUGAGUGCGCGAAAGCCAGGGGAGCAAACGGG